UCUAUUCAAUGUCAUUAAUAAUUAAUUAAUUUUAUUAUCAAUGACUUAAAAGUCUUAAUAAAUUAAGAAAUCCUGAAAAAUCCAGAUGAAUCAUAUUAAGGAUGUCCAAAUCUACUAGGAUCUAACAAAGACUUGGAUGGAGGCUGGUAUGCUAUCUGACGGUCAUGGUUCAGAACCUUUGUAUCGAAAACAAUAUGACUUACAAUAGAGAAGCUUUAGGAUCAAGUGCCCUCUAGAAAGAAAAAGAGAAAAAGAUCAAAUAAGACAAACAAGAGAGAAAAAAAGGCUAGAGAGAGAAUACUAGAGAGAAAGAGAGAGAGAAGGUGGGGAACGUAAGUCAAGAGCGAAGAG
rnacentral:lncRNA from 1 species